CCAGUAGGCGGCCAACUAAGUCCGACGUGAAAUCCCCAGGCUUAACCUGGGAACUGCGUCGGAUACUGGAUGGCUUGAAUUCGGGAGAGGGAUGCAGAAUUCCAGGUGUAGCGGUGAAAUGCGUAGAUAUCUGGAGGAAUACCGGUGGCGAAGGCGGCAUCCUGGACCGACAUUGACGCUGAAUGGCGAAAGCUAGGGGAGCAAACG
rnacentral:rRNA from 1 species